GUAGGUGGCAAGCGUUGUCCGGAAUUAUUGGGCGUAAAGCGCGCGCAGGCGGUUCUUUAAGUCUGAUGUGAAAGCCCACGGCUCAACCGUGGAGGGUCAUUGGAAACUGGAGAACUUGAGUACAGAAGAGGAAAGCGGAAUUCCACGUGUAGCGGUGAAAUGCGUAGAGAUGUGGAGGAACACCAGUGGCGAAGGCGGCUUUUCUGGUCUGUAACUGACGCUGAGGCGCGAAAGCGUGGGGAGCAAACAGGGAUUAGAUACCCUGGUAGUCCACGCCGUAAACGAUGAGUGCUAAGUGUUAGGGGGGGUUUCCGCCCCCUUAGUGCUGCAGCUAACGCAUUAAGCACUCCGCCUGGGGAGUACGGCCGCAAGGCUG
rnacentral:rRNA from 1 species